AUCCAUGUGACGAAUCCCAAAUGAGAUGAAACGCGCGUCUUGGAU
rnacentral:hammerhead_ribozyme from 1 species